rnacentral:rRNA from 1 species
CGAAAGCCUGACGGAGCAAGGCCGCGUGAGGGAGGAAGGCUCUAGGGUUGUAAGCCUCUUUUAUCAGGGAAGAAGCUCUGACGGUACCUGAGGAAUCAGCAUCGGCUAACUCCGUGCCAGCAGCCGCGGUAAUACGGAGGAUGCAAGCGUUAUCCGGAAUCAUUGGGCGUAAAGCGUCCGCAGGUGGGAGUUCAAGUCGAUUGUCAAAGGCAGUAGCUUAACUACUGAAAGGCAGUGGAAACUGAACAACUAGAGUGCGGUAGGGGUAGAGGGAAUUCCCGGUGUAGCGGUGAAAUGCGUAGAGAUCGGGAAGAACACCAGUGGCGAAAGCGCUCUGCUGGACCGGCACUGACACUGAGGGACGAAAGCUAGGGGAGCG